UGCUUGCCCUGCUGACAUUUUUGUGUCGUUCGGGCAGCCGAAAUGUUGGCGAAAUCCCUGUGUUGGUGCGCGGUCGAACGCCGUGCUGCUAUCGCUUGGAUUUGUGCCGGCUCUCACGGAUGCGGUGCCUAGUGCUAGCUCUGCGGGGCUCUGUCCCGCAGACUUCGGGAGGUCCCUUGUACGAGUCAUUGCUCUUAUACGCCGUCUAGUGCGUCGCCGACGGCGACGCGCAGAUCGUGUUCCGUCGUGCCGUCGUUGGCGACACGUCAGAACAAAGUGUCCGGAGCGUGCUCGCGUGCAUGCGGAGUGCCUCUCUGUCCCGUAUAAGCGGCGAUUUCCGGUCUGCGUCGUGCGAAGGCCCGCCCGUCCGGGUUGGCGCCGGAGCCGACGUGCCGGCUCU
rnacentral:misc_RNA from 1 species